ensembl:lncRNA
GUCUGGACCGCCUGACGGACAGAGACGAAGAAGAAGGCUUGACUUUCAGAUUCGCUCUUUUUAGUCUUCCGACAAAAGGCACCGGCACUGGAUUACUUUAUAGCCGUCUUCCUACAAAUGGUCUGAAAAAUAUAUCAAAGAAGUGGAAGCCGUUGUGUGUGUGUGUGUGUUUGUGUGCUCUGUAUGUGUGUCAGUGUGUGUUCCUUAUGAGUGUGUGCGUGUAUAUAUGUGUAUGAGUGCAUGUGUUCGGGAUGAAGAGCCGGUGGGACCUCCGCUACCCUCUCCUCGUCCUCCUCCUCUACCUGUCGGCGGACGUCGUCUCACAGGUCAACCCAGGUGUCAGUGACCUGGUUGACCCCUGCCGGGGACUAGCGGUCCUCUUUCUGGUCCUCUCUGGUUCAGCCAUGUUGACGUGUUUCCCAGUGUGGCUCCAUCACGGCUCCGCACUCUGGGUGGUCCCUAUGAGAGGAGGCGGGACCUAAAGAAGGUAAUUAGCUUUACG